UAGAAAUUCAGUGAAGGGGCCGGGUAGAUGACUCAGUUGAAUAAUCACUUGCUUGGCAAGUACAAGGGCCUGAGUUCAAUCCCCAGUUCUG